rnacentral:rRNA from 1 species
UUUGAUUAGGUCCUUGUCUAUGUUCCUUGGAACAGGACGUCAUAGAGGGUGAGAAUCCCGUUUGGCGAGGAUACCUUUUCUCUGUAAGACUUUUUCGAAGAGUCGAGUUGUUUGGGAAUGCAGCUCAAAGUGGGUGGUAAAUUCCAUCUAAAGCUAAAUAUUGGCGAGAGACCGAUAGCGAACAAGUACAGUGAUGGAAAGAUGAAAAGAACUUUGAAAAGAGAGUGAAAAAGUACGUGAAAUUGUUGAAAGGGAAGGGCAUUUGAUCAGACAUGGUGUUUUUUGCAUGCACUCGCCUCUCGUGGGCUUGGGCCUCUCAAAAAUUUCACUGGGCCAACAUCAAUUCUGGCAGCAGGAUAAAUCAUUAAGAAUGUAGCUACUUCGGUAGUGUUAUAGCUUUUUGGAAUACUGUUAGCCGGGAUUGAGGACUGCGCUUCGGCAAGGAUGUUGGCAUAAUGGUUAAAUGCCGCC